UCCGUAGGUGAACCUGCGGAAGGAUCAUUACAAGUGAGGCUACCGAACGUUGGAAACAGCGGUUAGGAGCUUACACCCACCCGUGUUUACAUACUAUUGUUGCUUUGGCGGGCCGUGGCCUCCACUGCGGGCUCUGCUCGUGUGUGCCCGCCAGAGAGCCAAACUCUGAAUGUUAGUGAUGUCUGAGUACUAUCUAAUAGUUAAAACUUUCAACAACGGAUCUCUUGGUUCUGGCAUCGAUGAAGAACGCAGCGAAAUGCGAUAAGUAAUGUGAAUUGCAGAAUUCAGUGAAUCAUCGAAUCUUUGAACGCACAUUGCGCCCUGUGGUAUUCCGCAGGGCAUGCCUGUUCGAGCGUCAUUUAACCACUCACGCCUAGCGUGGUAUUGGGGCACGCGGUCUCCGCGGCCCUCAAAAUUAGUGGCGGCGCCGGUGGGCUCUAAGCGUAGUACAUACUCCCGCUAUAGAGUUCCCCCCGGUGGCUCGCCAGAACCCCCAAUUUUUUACAGGUUGACCUCGGAUCAGGUAGGGAUACCCGCUGAACUUAAGCAUAUCAAUAAGCGGAGGAGGCCUCGUGU
rnacentral:rRNA from 1 species